rnacentral:rRNA from 1 species
AUUGAACGCUGGCGACAUGCCUUACACAUGCAAGUCGAACGGCAGCACGGGUGCUUGCACCUGGUGGCGAGUGGCGAACGGGUGAGUAAUACAUCGGAACAUGUCCUGUAGUGGGGGAUAGCCCGGCGAAAGCCGGAUUAAUACCGCAUACGAUCUACGGAUGAAAGCGGGGGACCUUCGGGCCUCGCGCUAUAGGGUUGGCCGAUGGCGGAUUAGUUGGUUGGGGGGGUAAAGGCCAACCAAGGCGACGAUCCGGAGCUGGUCUGAGAGGACGACUAGGCACACUGGGACUGAGACACGGCCCAGACUCCUACGGGAGGCAGCAGUGGGGAAUUUUGGACAAGGGGCGAAAGCCUGAGCCAGCAAUGCCGCGUGUGUGAAGAAGGCCUUCGGGUUGUAAAGCACUUUUGUCCGGAAAGAAAUCCUUGGCCCUAAUACGGUCGGGGGAUGACGGUACCGGAAGGAUAAGCACCGGCUAACUACGUG